rnacentral:rRNA from 1 species
UAGGGAAUCUUCCGCAAUGGACGCAAGUCUGACGGAGCAACGCCGCGUGAGUGAAGAAGGAUUUCGGUUCGUAAAACUCUGUUGUUAGAGAAGAACAGCGCAUAGAGUAACUGUUAUGCGUGUGACGGUAUCUAACCAGAAAGCCACGGCUAACUACGUGCCAGCAGCCGCGGUAAUACGUAGGUGGCAAGCGUUGUCCGGAUUUAUUGGGCGUAAAGCGAGCGCAGGCGGUUAGAAAAGUCUGACGUGAAAGGCAGUGGCUCAACCAUUGUAGGCUUUGGAAACUGUUUAACUUGAGUGCAGAAGGGGAGAGUGGAAUUCCAUGUGUAGCGGUGAAAUGCGUAGAUAUAUGGAGGAACACCGGUGGCGAAAGCGGCUCUCUGGUCUGUAACUGACGCUGAGGCUCGAAAGCGUGGGGAGCGAACAGG